GGAGAGUGUGAGCUCCAAGAAGGCCAAGACUCAGGAUGAUGAGGAGGCUGAGGGCUCCAAAUCUGAGGUCGAAGACGAGGGUAGCGAUGAGGUAUAAACAUUAAGCAUUUUGGUUGAUGGUUUAUGUUUCGAGUGCCAAUGAUGUUUACCUUCUAGUGUUUUAGUGACACGAUUGAUUUUUCUGCCUGCAGGAUAAUGAAGACGACGAUGAGUAAAUAGUGUAUCCAAGCACGAGGUAGCAAAUUGGGAGUUGGGUCCCCGCGUAGUGUACUAGUUUGCUAUCCUGCUAUCUUCAGUGUUAGAUGAUGAAAUUUGGAAGUAGAUGUGCCUUUGUGUGUUAAGGGGGCCCCUCUUAGACUUGUGGACUCAUGGUUUGAGAAGUUGCUUAGUAGUGUAUUAGCAGAGAGAGAGCCGAGAAUGCCACUAGCUGUCUCUUGCUAACCACUUGUGUAAGAACUUGUUUUCAUUCGCUAAUCUGAUGACUGCCCAGCCAUUGGCUCUUGGUUAAUUUCGUCUUAAAUUUGUGGCGAUUUGCUUCACGUGUUACUCCUGUGUGUAAUCUAUCUGCUUUGUUUGGCUUUCGGUAAUUUGGUUGAAUUAUCAGACAUAGUCUGUUGGUAAUGUGGUGUUUGCUGGGAUUAUUUCAGCGCUAGAGUAAUAUAUGAACUAGAUUUAGCAGGGCUGAGAACGUACUGUAUAAUUUGCUAGUCUGCUGUUUGUGAUUCUGUCGUUGUUGCCUUUUCUCGGAUUGGCAUUCCAGUGAUGCCAGCUGAACUGUUGUUGACUUCUGUCGGCGAUGCAAAUGGUAACUGCAUUUUUGGAUAAUAAGUGGAAGCCGUGUCACAUCCAGCGCCGUUGGCUGCCGGUUUUCUUCAAAGAGAAGCUCUGUUUGUUUUAUCUCGUGUAACUGCAGGGUCGUGUUCGGUUCGUCGACCGACUUCCGUGCCCAGCACUGGCCUAUUGAUGCUGCAAAACAAGAGACGCUAGUGUGACAGUGUCCAACAUAGCAGACAGUAUCAUUGAUGACAUGGGAGAGAACUAAACAUAGACACGACUAGUAUCACUAAUCACAUGCGAGAGAACUAAACAUAGAUGACUAGUAUCACUAAUCACAUGGGGGAGAACUGUUUUCAUAUGGGAGAUCGUUCUUCGCAUUCUUUCUGUCUGCUCAACCUGCAACGGAAAACUGGUGAUAGUCAGGUAAUGAAUAUUAAGAAGGCGAUUUCGAAUUCAUGGUCCAAGCUUCCGUAGCAUAGUGGUAUUGCGUUCGCUUCGUAAGCGAAAGGUCGUGAGUUCGAUCCUCACCGGGAGCAUUCUUUUUGGGGGCGUCCGUUCAUACAACCAUUUUUUUCAACGAUUGCAAUAAAAAACAAAAUUUGCAACAAAAAAAGUAUGUACGUGAUCGUAGCAAAAAAACGAAGCUGAUGGUAUGUGGUAGCAAAAGUGAAACGCUGGUUGUAACAAAUAUUUACAUGAUGUGUAUGCAACUUUUUUAGUGAACGGUUGCAGCAAAAAAUGAUGUCGGUUGUAGUAAAAUUAACACGGUUGUAGCAAAAGGAAAAAACAUUGAUUGUAACGAAAAAUCGAAAAACUGAAUGUGGUUGUAGUAAAAUUAGCACGGUUGUAGCAAAAGUAAAAAACAUCGAUUGUAACGAAAAAUCGAAAAACUGAAGUUGCAACCAAAUGUAUAUGCAGUUUUUUUACUGAACAAAUGUAGGAAAAAAAUAACGCUUGCAGCAAAUAGGAAAAAAAAUAACGCUUGCAGCAAAUAUGACGCUGGUUGCAACAAUUUAAACGAAAAAAUGUUGCAUGCCCAGUCAACACGCGCGGGCAGUUGUGUUGAACGGUUCGGCCGGCACACUGACCAGAAACGAUUCCCUUCUUUCUGUCAUUUUCGUAAUCAUUUUUUUAUUUUGGAUGAAGAUUGUGGUAACCAAUAGUGGUAGGUUUUUUUUGAUAACAUCCAAUAGUGGUAGUUCUUCUGUAGCGUAGAUUGCGGCUUUUUCUAUACCUACUAAUGACAUCGUCAAUGCUCACCACUCUUUCUUUCCCGCAAAUGUUUCUUUUUAGUCUAGACUAUGUCCGCGGACAAGAUACCGGAGGCCGUCUCACCCAACAUUGCCCGCAUACAUUUUAAAAGUAAAAUUAAAGUAACUGGAUAAAAUUUGUUGAAAUGACGAAUUAUCAAUAAUUGUAAAAGAUUCAUAUAAACACGAUGGGUUUGGUAUAAAACAUGACAAAAUUUAUUAUAUUAGGGAGAUCGACACGAGUCCUAAGAAGAGAAGCUUUGACGCUUGCGUUCAUUUUCUGCAGCUCAUUCCUAACAAUGCAUGCCGCCUUAACUUGAGUGGCUAAUUGGUGACGUUUAUCAGUCCGCCAAGCUUGGCGUCAGGUGAAGGGGAAGAGCGAUGGCAUCCUUGAGACCCGAAGGUCGGCCACCAUGUACUACUCUUCCUCUAUCGAUGGCGCAUGUACCGUGUUGUGUUUGUGGUACUGGCGGUGGGCAGCUUGUUGGGCGGUGCCAACGAUAUCCUCCUCAUUGUUGCUUUUGCCGAACACCUCGUCCACCGCCUCGUCGUACUCCCUGUAGGCGGCUUUCAGUUCCGCCUAACGAGUGUAAGUCUUCAAGUGGGGGCGCAAGUGCAUGUUUUAGAAAAGGGUUUAAAAGGGGCAACUCCAAGUUUUCAAGUAAGUUUUCGAAAUUGGGAGGAGGGGUGCUUGCAUGGGCAGACCAUAGUAUGAGUGUCUUAACUCAUGGGUUUUAAUUUUUAAAUAUAUUUUUAGGGGUUUUCAGGAGGUGUGGGCCACGAUCAGCCAAUGCCACUACAACAAAAGGAAUUACCAUUUUUGUGUUAGUUGAGCUUAUAUUUUCAGCUUGUUGCCUUUUCUUCACCUUCCAUUCACCUUUUUUUUGCCUUUUUCUGUCACAUGAGAACAAAAUUUAAGACAAGGGGAAUGCUUUUUUUUAGUUGCACACUGCCGUUUGACAUGCAACUGAACGAGCAUCAUCGGAAAGACUAAAAUAAAUCUAACAAAAUAUGAACACCCGUGCCAAGCUUAGGACUCGAACUCAGACGGGUUGGUUCCACCACAAAGAGCCUAACCAUCGGAGAGCUAGGCUCAGUUGGCACAUACAACUGUAGUUGGUAAAAAUAUGAGAAUUGAUUUUUUAUUGUCACCUUGUAUCGACAUGCUCGCGUCAAUGCAUAAGUCGACGAGUUUUUCACCCAUUUUUUCUGUGCAUCUCCUUUUCGAUCAAAACAUAGUUACAACAGGCUCAAUUAGAACAAUUGCACUAUCUUAUUUCACCAUUUUCCUUUUUAUUUUUAUUAAUUUUUUUGUAGGAAGUAAUACAUGUAUAUUUUGUGGAAGUGCAUUAGCAUUUUAUUUGAACAAAAUUUAAAUAUGAACGUGUCUUCAAAUGAAAUACUAUUUUUUACAAAAGCAUAUUUUUUGAAAUGCAUGAACACUUUUCCAACAUUUGUAAUAAAUUUCCUUUUUAUUAAUAAUUGUUGUUGUGGCCUAAUAAAUGUCCAUGAUAUUAAUUCUCCCUUCUAUAAUAAAAUUCAUGUGUGAUUUGUUUUUUUGCAACUGGUUGCAAUAUCACUCAACUACUCUAAAAGUAUAUUCUCAGCACCCAAACAAAUUCACGUGUUAGCAAGAAUAAAAAAUUCAAACAUGUAAGUAUCUGUGUAAUUUUUCAAAAUGGUAAGUGUAAAUAUUGAAUUGCUGAAGAUUUUCUAAAUCUAUGAACAUUUUUGAAAACACAUGAACAAUUUUUUGAAUCCACAAACUUUUAUGAAUUCAAGAUUUUUUCAAAUAUAUAUAUAUUGAAACUUGGAACAUUUUUAAAUGCUUAAUCAUUUUAAAGAAGAACAAAUAAAGACAAAAACAAAAAGAGAAAAAAGAAAUGAAAAAAAUAGCAGGAGACCAGACCUACUCAUGGGCCGGCCUAAUAGGGUGGGCAGGAGGGUGGACGUGUACGCUCGCUCGCUCUAUUGGCCCACCCUCCUCAUGUGUGGUAUAGGAGGUCCUGUUGCACACUCCUCCUCAAUCGUUCGUUCUGAUGGGUGUCAAGGGGAAGCCCUGGAUUCGCGAGAGACCCAAUCAACUAUUUUAUAAAUGUCAUGAAUAAAAAAACUAGAUAUUUUGUCAUAAAAACACAUAAACAUAGAAUUACAAAGAGUAAAAAUGCAUCAUAAGUGCUAAAACUAUUGGGGUUGUGUUAGUUUAGUCUUAAAAAAUUAAACUAUAGUUUUAGGCCCUAAAACUAUUGGAGGUGUGUCAAUUUGGUCAUAUAACUUCGAAAAUGCAGUUGUGGGACCAAAAACUAUGUAAGUUUGUUCACCUCAUGUCCUAAGCUUGUAUGUCUAGCAUUGACCCGUCGACGUGUCUCUUGGAUAUGCUUGGACUAUUGCCAUGUUGACCGAAUGGACACCAGGUUAACCUAUGAAAGGUAAAUCUAGAAAAAACCCAAUAAAGUGUUGUCUCACCUCAUCUCACGGCAUUGUCUUCUCCCACACAUAAAAUGUUUGGUGGUGAUAGGACGGAGGCCAUCAAGGACAUGAUGUCUUGAGCUCCAACGUGGAGAGUAGAUAUGUCAUCUCAGCCUCACCUAUUUGUGGAAGAAUGACACGUUGCACAAUGUCCAAUUGCUACCUACCUGUGACUCCUCUUGGGUCUGUGUCACCCUUGCCGACCUUUACGUUGGCUUCACAAUUUUAUGUGCACUCCCCUGCAUCAUCUAUCAACAAUGAUAGUUCCCCAUCUGUGGACAUGUCCCUUGUUAGAGCAUAUUUUUUCAUGUGUGGUUUUGGUAAUUGAUGACAAUCCCUAUAGACUAAUGGCCGCCUUGAGUUAUAUUUGAAGGAUUUAUCCAUAAGCAUUUCUUGAAGUUCAACCGUUGGUUUGAAGGAUUUUAUAUGGUGAUCAAGGUGGUAUUCAAGGUUUUAUCCAAAGAUUUGUCAUGUAAGAGUUGAGCUCAUUGCAAUCAUGACUUGAAGAAGAAGAUUGUAUGAACAUUCAUGUUUAUCUUCAAGACAUCAUCCUUAUGAAGAGAGAAGAUAAGAUACAAGGUUGAUCAAGACCAAGUCAAGAGUGAAUCAAGUUUAUCAACACAUAAAGCGUACAAGAUGCCGAGAGGGAUCAAGUGAUCCCACGAUAUGGUAAGCAUUAUCCAUUACACUUUGUGUACUAACACAUGGUCUAUGGGAGAGUUCUAUGUGUGGUUAGGUAUGUUUCCAUGGGCUUGCGUCAAGAGGAAGAUCUCAUACAACCCAUGAAAGAUGACAUCAAGUGGUGAUCGUCAUCAAGAUUGCAGUGUACAAGUUCAAAUGGAGCAUCAAGAAGAGAUCAUGCUUGAAGCUUGCCAUCCAUUGUGGUGAAAAUGGACUUGUGAAGAUGCGCCGAAGAGUGGCUCAUCCAUAGUGGAGUAUGGAGGAGCAAUCAACCAGUCUUCAUCGAGCCAACACAAUCAAGAAAUAUGGUCCAUCUUGAGGAAGUCAAGAUCGUCAUCAUCUCGCUCAAGUGGACUAUGUGUCAGGUAUAGGUUUGUCCUUGAUAACUUUUCUAUUUUACCGGUAUGAGGGUGUUAGUUGGGAGGCAGGUGUCGUGGUUUUGUCACGGCAGAUGUCCUCGUGAAAGGACUUAGUGAUGGAGCCAUCGCACCUUGGUGGCGACUCAAAGAGGGUGAGCGGAAGCGAGACUCAGGUUUACCUAGGUUCGGCCCCUCCGGUGAAGGUAAAAGCCUACGUCCUGCUUUGUGUAUAUUGAUGGUGGAUUCGAUUACAAGGAGGGCGCAACUCGCUUGAGCUAUCUCUCGAUGGAUUCUAAUUUAACCUCUCUGCCCUAGAGACUCGCCUUUAUAUAUAGGUCGAUGCCCUAGGAUUUACAAAGUCCUAGCCAUGUUACAAACCAUGGCUUUCCAUAUCUCUAAGUCGCCGUGUCUUCCAAGUCAGGUUACCUCCUUGGCAACUUAUCUUUUCUCUUAAUCUUGAACCGCCAUCCAGCUCAUGGGCCCUGGCAGCCCUUUGUCAAGGUCUCCUGGCGCAUCUCAGACCCUCGGCCAAGGCUUAUCUUGAUCGUUAAUGUAGAGUCAUCGUUUUACCUGACCCGGCCCAAUAGGGCGGGUCAUACCGUAGGUAAUAUCCCCAACAUUAGGCCCCAGAUUGACUUGAAUUUGUUCACGCCAAUAAACCUUCACGCUUGUCUUCGGCGACUGAUACGCGAUCUCUGACCCUCCUUCAAUAAACAACGAGCCGCCAACUCUUAUGAAUUGUCUGAGUCACCAGGUCCUUUAUUGGUGAUGUCAUCCUCUCCACAAUUCCUGGGAUCUUGAUGACAUCACUCCCAACGGAUCUUUUGUCUUAUCCUAUCAUCCCGAAAAUCUAAACGCCAUCAUUUCCGGUUUUCAAUAUAGCUCCUCGAUUCCCGCACCUGCCAUUUCGAUUCUGCCCUAGGUCUUUAAAUAGCCGCAGGGGGACGGGCGCAUUCCCACCUACCUCUAUUCCAUCUCCUCGGCUGCGUCUUCUUCCUCGGGCUCGCGUCGCGACCACCACGCCAUCGCCGAACCUCUGUCGCGGACCAGCCGCUUCUCAGGCUGCUCGGGGGCGCGGUCUUCGCCAUAGAACCUCCGCGUCCUUCUUCAUUCGUCGUCUUCCUUCUUCACGUAACUUCCCUUUCUCCAUUAGACCUAGAUCUCGAACCUCCAUAGUUCUUAGGGUAACACCGAAACUCCAUGAACGCCAACUCCUCGUGCCAUUAUCCCAUCUAAGUAUGGCUUUUAGAUCCUUCCCUUUAUCAAUAAACUGUGGUAGUUCCAUCACAAUCUCCAGCAAGUUUUAUUCUUACUCCAUUAUUUUACAGAUCCACACACUGUUUUCACAGUGUUUUUGUGUUCUUAGCGCCUGAAUUUUUGCAAGUAUUAUUUUCCUCAAUAGAAUCACCUCUAGAUCCGUAAAUUAUCUCUCGGUAUUGAAAACAUGUUUGUCCUUGAUUAGGAAUAUCCUAAGGAAAUUUUUAGGCUCACAACCGACCCUCAAUGCUGUGGCGAGUCACAACUCCCUUUUAGUCAUGCUCUCAAUUGUUGGCCGGCAAGUUACCAUUCCGUAGGUUGUGACAACCCGCCAAACCUUCUUAUGCAGAUCUCUGUCCCCUCUUUUUUAACUUUGCAACUAUGGGUUCCAUCUCCAAAUGCAACUGGCUGCCAACAGAAGUCAAUGACGCUUAUCUUGCAAAAUUCGGGAAAGUGGGCAACCUUGUGUCCAAAGAAGCGAUCGGCUGGCGAACCGCCUUUAGGGAGAAAAUUCCUCAACCCGCCGAAGGAUAAGUAGUCAUUUUUGCUGAUCACCUCGAGCGAGGCUUCACGUCGCCCGACUCAAAGUUCUUCAGGGACGCCUUGCACUUUUUCAACCUCCAUCCUCAAGACUUAGGGCCAAACUCCAUCAACAACAUGUGACAAUUCCAAGUGUUCUGCGAGGCUUACCUGCAGAUAGAGCCUACUGUGCUUUUGUUUAGGAAAUUCCUUUACCUGAACCGCCAGACUGAAUUUGCCAACGGGCCCUACCUAGAGCUAGGGGGAGUUAACAUCCAGCAACGGUAUGAAUGUGGGUUCCCAGCUAUUACUUUGCCCAGUCAUCCCAAAGGUUGGGCAAAGACUUGGUUCUACUACCGCGACACUUAUCCACCCAAUGAGAACCCUUUACCAGGCUUCAGGGAGGAACGUCUGCCCAAGGAUUUCAAACUGCGUGAAAAGUUAACUGAAGAAGAAGAAGCCACAUUCGUCCCUAUCUUCGCAAAACUCAGGGCUCUUACUAUCUGUUGGAGAUGUUACCUGUGGGUAACCCGCCCUUAAUGGGCCGGGUCACCAACGGGGCGACUCACCUUUGGUCAUGUGUCCAAUGGCCCAGAAGUUUUGGGGCGGUUCGAGAAGACCGUAUAGAUGAUGGAACGUCAAGGAAGCUCUGGGACGUGAGGAGCACGGCGACUUAGAGAUAAGGAAAACUACCAAGUGUAGGGUAGCAGGACUUUGUAAACCCUAGGGCCUUGACCUGUAUAUAAAGAAGAGUCCCGGGGAAAGGUCAGGCGAGUUAGAGAGAAUCGAGAGCUAGGUCAGGCGAGUUACGCCCUCCUUGUAAUCGAAACCAUCAUCAAUCUACGCAAAGCAGGACGUAGGCUUUUACCUCCUCACGAGGGGCCAAGCCUGGGUAAAUCUGAGUCUCGCUUUCGCUCACCCCCUUUGAGUCGCCACCAAGGUGCGAUGGAUCCAUCUUUAAGUCCUUUCACGAGGACAUCUGCCGUGACAAAACCACGACAGUUGGCGCCCACCGUGGGGCUAGCGCAUGGUGGAGUUGAGUUCUCGAAAGGAGCCCUAUCAGGGUUAGAAAGCUACGCUAUCGGCAUCAUGACCAAGAGUCGCCGUGGGAAGUACUACAUCGACAACUCACUAUGGGAAUCGGAGGCCGAUUCCGUCGAAUCUGGCUACCGAGUCCCCUUCGGCAAGAUCAACAUCUUCAUUGGCAUGAUCGGGACGCCUGUUCCUGAGCCGGACACCUCCAUCGACAUCGUCGAGCCGGCCAGGUACGUCCUCCCCGUCACCCGACGGAACAAGAGCCGCCAGGUUUUCGUCGACUUUACGCAGGGAGGCGACUCGCAAGACAAAGAGGCGGGCCAGGACGUCACCCCGUCAAUUCCGAUGGCGAGUUAUCCAUGGGUGAGACGGCAUUGAUCCACCCUCUUGAGGAAGGGCAGCUCGGGGGACUGUCACUGGCGAUGGAUCCCGAAGUCCUCGAGAGAUCUCGCCGACAAAUCGCCAUCUACAUGGCGGGGUCAGCACAUCCUCCUCAGAACCCGAUUGGCAACAAUGAGACCCGAGGAACGUCCAAACCUCCAGCGCAAACCAUGACGGAGUUGGCAACGGAGAUAGCCAACCUUAUGGCAACCCCGGUCACGUCUGAGAAUCAGGAGUCGGUCAAUGCUGAGAUGGCCAAGCUGCGGGAGGCAAUGGCCAAAGCACAGCGCGACAUGGAAGCAGAAGCCGCCAGGAUCGAGACACAGCGAGUUGCGAUCGCCGCACAGACCGAUCGGCUGAACACCAAAGGUUGGCGGCUCGGGAUACAACAACGCGCGUCGGACGCCGUCCACCAUAGAAGACACGGCGGGCACAUUCUGACCGACUUACACCCAACUCGCCUCUUUGACACCCCCCGCACCCGUGGGGCGGGCCCUGACCGGGCUCUGCAAGCCGCCCCGAGGGGAGGAACGAUUCCACCGUCCAAUAUGCCGCCGGGUCAGCCCAUGGACGCUCAUGCGACUCGAUUCCAGACAUCGCGGGGCCACUUCUCAAACC
rnacentral:lncRNA from 1 species